GCACACUUUGUCAGUGAAGCAGUAAAAAAGUGGUUGACUUAAGGAGGUUUGCAAACAACCGCAAUGAUAAAACUAACAACCAUACAGUUUAACUAUAUUGCUAAGGAGAGUGGAAUGAAACUUCAGACAAAAGCAUGCAGGAUUGUACCACACACAUAUAGGAAAAAUAACUUUGUUUUGGUUCUUUGAACUCUAAGUUAAAUAUUGAAAAUGGAAAAUUAUUAAAUCAAGUUGCAAACAAGUUUCUAUAAGGCACAAAAAGAUUUGCUAUCCUUGACUGAACAUUAACCACUGAGAGGAAGAAAGAGAAGAUGGCUCAUAUGUGAUUGCCAAAAAGCUUUAUGACUAUCCAAAACAAAAA